rnacentral:rRNA from 1 species
UGGGGAAUUUUGGACAAUGGGGGCAACCCUGAUCCAGCCAUGCCGCGUGAGUGAAGAAGGCCUUCGGGUUGUAAAGCUCUUUCGGCCGGGAAGAAAUCGUAUCAGCUAAUACCUGGUGCGGAUGACGGUACCGGCAUAAGAAGCACCGGCUAACUACGUGCCAGCAGCCGCGGUAAUACGUAGGGUGCGAGCGUUAAUCGGAAUUACUGGGCGUAAAGCGUGCGCAGGCGGUUUUGUAAGACAGGCGUGAAAUCCCCGGGCUCAACCUGGGAACUGCGUUUGUGACUGCAAGGCUAGAGUACGGCAGAGGGGGGUGGAAUUCCACGUGUAGCAGUGAAAUGCGUAGAGAUGUGGAGGAACACCAAUGGCGAAGGCAGCCCCCUGGGUCGAUACUGACGCUCAUGCACGAAAGCGUGGGUAGCAAACAGG